rnacentral:rRNA from 1 species
GACGAACGCUGGCGGCGUGCUUAACACAUGCAAGUCGAACGAAAAGAGGGAAAGAGCUUGCUCUUUCCGGAAUUGAGUGGCAAACGGGUGAGUAACACGUAAACAACCUGCCUUCAGGAUGGGGACAACAGACGGAAACGACUGCUAAUACCGAAUAAGUUCCAAGGGCCGCACGGCCCAUGGAAGAAAAGGUGGCCUCUACCUGUAAGCUAUCGCCUGAAGAGGGGUUUGCGUCUGAUUAGCUGGUUGGAGGGGUAACGGCCCACCAAGGCGACGAUCAGUAGCCGGUCUGAGAGGAUGAACGGCCACACUGGAAUUGAGACACGGUCCAGACUCCUACGGGAGGCAGCAGUGGGGAAUCUUCCGCAAUGGGCGAAAGCCUGACGGAGCAACGCCGCGUGAGUGAUGACGGCCUUCGGGUUGUAAAACUCUGUGAUCCGGGACGAAAAGGCAGAGUGCGAAGAACAAACUGCAUUGACGGUACCGGAAAAGCAAGCCACGGCUAACUACGUG